rnacentral:rRNA from 1 species
UACGAAGGGGGCUAGCGUUGCUCGGAAUCACUGGGCGUAAAGCGCACGUAGGCGGACUCUUAAGUCGGUGGUGAAAUCCUGGAGCUCAACUCCAGAACUGCCUUCGAUACUGAGAGUCUCGAGUCCGGGAGAGGUGAGUGGAACUGCGAGUGUAGAGGUGAAAUUCGUAGAUAUUCGCAAGAACACCAGUGGCGAAGGCGGCUCACUGGCCCGUAACUGACGCUGAGGCACGAAAGCGUGGGGAGCAAACAGG